GAUGAACGCUGGCGGCGUGCCUAAUACAUGCAAGUCGAGCGAAUGGAUUAAGAGCUUGCUCUUAUGAAGUUAGCGGCGGACGGGUGAGUAACACGUGGGUAACCUGCCCAUAAGACUGGGAUAACUCCGGGAAACCGGGGCUAAGACCGGAUAACAUUUUGAACCGCAUGGUUCGAAAUAGAACGGCGGCUUCGGCUGUCACUUAUGGAUGGAACCGCGUCGAAUUAGCUAGUUGGUGAGGUAACGGCUCACCAAGGGAACGAUGCGUAGCCGACCUGAGAGGGUGAACGGCCACUGUGGGACUGAGACACGGCCCAGCCUCCUACGGGAGGCAGCAGUAGGGAAUCUUCCGCAAUGGACGAAAGUCUGACGGAGCAACGCCGCGUGAGUGAUGAAGGCUUUCGGGUCGUAAAACUCUGUUGUUAGGGAAGAACAAGUGCUAGUUGAAUAAGCUGGCACCUUGACGGUACCUAGCCAGAAAGCCACGGCUAACUACGUGCCAGCCGCCGCGGUAA
rnacentral:rRNA from 1 species